rnacentral:rRNA from 1 species
UACGUAGGGUGCGAGCGUUGUCCGGAAUUAUUGGGCGUAAAGGGCUCGUAGGCGGUCUGUCGCGUCGGGCGUGAAAACACGGGGCUUAACCCCGUGCCUGCUUCCGAUACGGGCAGACUAGAGGUAUGCAGGGGAGAACGGAAUUCCUGGUGUAGCGGUGAAAUGCGCAGAUAUCAGGAGGAACACCGAUGGCGAAGGCAGGUCUCUGGGCAGUAACUGACGCUGAGGAGCGAAAGCGUGGGGAGCGAACAGG